AAACCAACCGGGAUUGCCUUAGUAACGGCGAGUGAAGCGGCAAAAGCUCAAAUUUGAAAUCUGGUACCUUCGGUGCCCGAGUUGUAAUUUGGAGAGGGCAACUUUGGGGCCGUUCCUUGUCUAUGUUCCUUGGAACAGGACGUCAUAGAGGGUGAGAAUCCCGUGUGGCGAGGAGU
rnacentral:rRNA from 1 species